rnacentral:rRNA from 1 species
AGUGAACGCUGGCGGUAGGCCUAACACAUGCAAGUCGAACGGCAGCACAGUAAGAGCUUGCUCUUACGGGUGGCGAGUGGCGGACGGGUGAGGAAUACAUCGGAAUCUACUUUUUCGUGGGGGAUAACGUAGGGAAACUUACGCUAAUACCGCAUACGACCUACGGGUGAAAGCAGGGGAUCUUCGGACCUUGCGCGAUUGAAUGAGCCGAUGUCGGAGUAGCUAGUUGGCGGGGUAAAGGCCAACCAAGGCGACGAUCCGUAGCUGGUCUGAGAGGAUGAUCAGCCACACUAGAACGUGGACACGGUCCAGACUCCUGCGGGAGGCAGCAGUGUGGUAUAUUAGACAAUAGGCGCAAGCCUUAUCCAGCCAUACCGCGUCGGUGGAGGAGGCCUUCGGGUUGUAAAGCCCUUUUGUUGGGAAAGAAAAGCAUCAGGUUAAUACCCCGCUGUUCUGACGGUACCCAAAGAAUAAGCACCGGCUAACUUCGUG